AGUGGAGGCAAGGGGAUCUCACUGGAGAUCCCUGCCUACCUGAGGCCUUCUGAAGAUGAGAACUUGACAGCUGCUGCCUCAAGACAGUGUAUGUGUACAUUCUGUCCUUAUGUGGUGCUCAAAAGUUUAUCCAAAACACUACUACUACCAAGAAGGCUUCCUCCAGCUUUGGUUCAUAGAAGUGCCUGAGUCCCAAGGGGCAGAUCCACAAUGUGUAUGAACAAGUAAUAUGGAUACAGCAACAGCUUCCAGGCAGACGGAGUGUCAGCUAAUGUGGAAAGAGAUGUUACCAGUGUGAUUAGUUGGUGUGAUUUCUGUUAUCAGCUGUUAUUUCAGCAAUGGCUUUGCUGGAUCCAGUGACACUUCAGUUUGCUCCUUCAGGAAGUGCUGGCUGAAUAGAGCAAGAAGUGUGACCCAACAGCAGCUAGAAUAAGAGAUGCAAUCAACCAAAGUCAUUUAAAAGUGUAACUACUAUGCUUGACAUCAGUAAUUGUGUUCCAGGCAGAGAUAUGCAAAAUGCUUGUAAUGAAGCUUCGAGCCAUGUGAAAACAGAGCAACAAGAUACUGCAUGUAGCAGAGAGUGACUCCUGCUUCAAGUAGAAGAAGAGAGGGCAUCCUCCUGGGUUAUGUAGACCUGUCCUUGUAUUUUAGGAAGCUAUUCAUCAGACUUGGGUCUCGUAUGCUCAGAGAACCCAAAGGAAGCAAGUUACUACUGCCAUGUGCUCUGUUUGAGACUGAAGUUACACCUCAGCAGCUCUGGUUCAAAUGCAGCCUUGCAGCACUGUGAUUCUCCCUUUCUUUUUUCCACAUGGCUGCUUGGUUUGCAGAGGAUGCCUCCUUACAGAUGUGUUCCUUCCCGACAAACAAUUACCCCUGUUCCCCUCUGCAGGAGGCCAUUAGGACAUCAUCACGGGUUCUGCUAAGUCAUCUCACAAUCACAGUUCUGUGCAGUCGUCUCUCAUCUGAGUCUAUCGAGGCAUAUGCCAUGCGGGGAAACUAGCAGUCACAAAACGCAGCACCUCCAGGCAUAUUAUUUGUUAUUUUGGUCCAGGAGUGUGACAGAUAAUGGUUACUGUGUGAAGGUCUCACUGACGGCAAUGGCUGGCAUCAUAUGCAGAAAAUGUAGAAAAGACAGAAUGGGUGAUCACGUCCCCACUUAAAGAGCAACAGAAGGAACAAUUUUGUAUUUUCACUGCAGUUAUAAGCACUAAAAAGAGAGACCAAAAAGGUAAUGUUUGGGGAAUUAUUCCACUGAAUAGACCCACAAAGCUAAAUUUACGUUGCAUCUGUUCUUUAUUACUUAUUGUUUAUGAGCUGUGUGUACAAAGAGCAAACGUGUCAAUAGUUUGCUUCAUAUUUAGCCUGGUUAUCAUAAUGGAGCUAAGCAUCUAACAUGAUUUUACUAACGAAAUACCAUAAAGCUAUAGGUAUUUGUAAGCUUGCAAUGCGCUGAUUAUUAGGAGAUGCUUACUCCCUAAAAUCCAGAUGUAGCAGGUGGAUCCUCCCAUGCUAAACUGACAACAGCGGAGGGCUCCAUUACAGAUACACUGCUUGAGAACAUGUUCACACUUUUCCCCUAGCUGUUCACACACUUCUCUUGCUGAAAAAAUCCUUAAUUAAAUGGUACGAUUUUGAGGAUUGUGUUAGACAACAAAAUAAAUGCACCCCAAACUGAGUUAUUUUCUUGAUAGUAGGAAGCCAGCUGUUUUGUGGUAGACUUUCAGUCUGCAUAAAUGUUACAAACUACUGAAUUACUAAAAGGCCCCUUGAUAUAUGAUCUCAUGUUGUUUAAUAGGCCUCCGAUUACUUUGGGGAAAAAUGGAUUUUAUUGUGUUAAUCAUAUGAAAACGAAGUUACUAAUCCCUAUCUAAUUAUGAGAGGUUUUUAAACUUGUAAUAAUAUCCUAAUUAUUUCCUCUUAUUGGAGCAAGUUGCAUUCUAAAGGUAAUCCUCAAGAAAGAAUAUGAAAAACCAUCCAAUGAAAUAGCUUGGUUUUUAUUUAUAUGGGUUUUGAAGCAUCUUUUGUUGUUAUUCUUUCAAACCUUAUCAAUGGACAACGUUUGGCACUGCACCUCUAACAAAUUCCUCUCCUUCCUCAACAGCAGUCUGAUCAGAAGCUUAAUGCAGAUUCUAUACAACAUGUAUAUAGUGAUAUUAAAUCAAGUGAGUGUAGACUCACCGCAAUCAACAUGAAAUCAAACACAGAACGAUGCGAUUUAAGGUUCUGUGGUUGCUGACAAGCGGAAGAUGAGGUGGAUUUAGGAAGAGAAUCAUACAAUUAUCUGAAAUAUGUUCAGAGUUGACAAGCUCUAAAAUCAGGACACAUCCAGAGCUGCAGGCUGGGUGAGAUACUGCAGGAUGGAUUAAGAACUAUCAAAUGCUGUAAGAGAAAGAGCCUGAAUUAAGAGCCAAAUGAAGUAUUGUCCAGAGCCAUGAAAACAGGUUUGGCAGCUGUAUAGCAGUCAACUGCACACACAGGGAUAAUAGCGUCAACAGGACGGCCUUUUGUGAGGACCUGAAGGCCCUUAAGGUCUGCUUUCAGUCUGUUACUAAACACCAAGGGUUAUAUUCUUCUCCUAAUGUGACAUCUGGGGCAGAGAUUUCAAAGCAAGCAGCCCAUGACAACUACCUGACAAUGCAGGAUGAAUAGAAGACACCGGGAAACUCAAAAAAUCUCAAACGUUUGGGACCGAACAGUGCAAAAGACAAGUUAUGUGUUAGCUACAUCUAGGAUCUGAAAGGCAUUUGGGAGCUAGAAAGGUACCUGAAAUCCAAUGGUAUAAGAAGAAUUACUGAGCUCUCAGCAUUGGUCCUGUCUCAGGCAAAAUAUAAGGAAAGAACAGCAAAAAGGAAUAUGACAAAGAUGACAUCUUGGCAAACUCACUGAACUUAUUAUCAUCUACAGUGAGGAAAAAAAAGGAAUAUCAACCAAACAUAACUUUUGGUCAUUCUUUAUUCCUCUUUUUCCUAAUUCUGAGGCCAUGGCUAAAUCUGACUUUGUAUUUUUCUUUUCAAUGCAUGGAAAGGGUAUAUCAUCCUAUCUGUUAACUUACUGCCUCUUUUCCAAGUUCCUUCUAUCUGUAAGAUAAGUGAUAGCAGUCAUACAUCCCUGAAAUGAACCCUGACACCUUUCUAUAACCAGUAUUAUUUGUAAUGCGUCUUCCAGCCUCCCCAUCCUAAAUCAUACUACUGUCUGCUCACGUUUUAUUUUAUGGUAUUAAAUUCAGAGUGUUUGGCCCUCACUUUUAAGGCCUUACUGUAAGUUCCUUUAUGGAUGUUCAUGUAGAUCCCUUUUUUACCAUGCCACAAGGAUAAUCACAUGGUGCAAUUAGUGCACUAAUGUGAGGAUAGAAGUUAAUAUUGUUUUACUGUGGUCUCAUUUACAAGUAAAAUGUUAUCCAAAGUGCUAUGCAAUGACCUCUUCUGCUGUUGUCCAAGGAGUAGUGCUCCAAUUCAAAUCCUCAGCAGGGAGCACGCCCUCACUCUACCUAGGGGAAAAGCAUCUGCUCUUAGAAAUCUAGGAUCGUAGAAGUCUAGGAUUUAGGCUACGAGAGUGAGGAACAACUACUAAGGGAUCUCAGUGACAGGGAAGACAAGGAGAAGAGACAGAUAACAAUAUGUGCAGAUCUUCGCACAUAAUUUCACAUGGUAGAACACACUGAACGCGGUGUUGCUAAGUGUGCAGGAUUAUCGUGCAGCAGCCAUGAGGAAGAUCUCCUUGCUUCUCAGUUUGGAAAGGCCUUCACAUUUCCAACUUCAUUCUGUAAUGAUGUCCAGCUGUGAAUUUAAGUUGCAUAUUUUAUGAAAGUAUUGACUUUAAACAGACAGCAUAAACAGUGACGUGUACCAAAACUUCAGUUGUUUGAAUCUUAUCAGUGUAUGUUACUCAGCUAGCAAGCACUGCACAUCAGAAAACAAUUUCCACUGAUCUGUUGCAUUUAGAGUAUUCACAGUUUUUGUUGAGUUCAUCCUGUCUGUAGUCUAACUUUCUGUAGCACAAAAUUUACAUGGUGUGUAGACACUUCAAAAAUAACAACUAAAUUUGUUUUGGUUUUGUUUUAUUUAAAAGCUAUUUCAAAUUGCCCAGGCAUAUUUUUGUCCCAUAUCACCAGCAGGACUCUUAAGCUCAGAAUAUAUUAUUGGUUUCUUGAUGUGUUAUGUGUUAUCUGACAUCUGCUUUCUUUGUCAUGCCAAAUCCUCCAAGCAAUAUCUUGAAAGACCUGAAAGAUAUUUUAAGUAGUAAACAUCUUCUGGCAACAAUACUUAAUUUCAUCACUACUCUUAAAAAUUUUGUCUGCAUGUUAAUUGCCUUCUGAGUUUCCAUACGGUCUCUCCAUUGGUAUUUAGGAUUUUUUUUUCUCUUUUUACUAGGCACAUAAUGUAGCUGAUGCCAUAACUUUUAGGAAGAUAGUUAUAAAAAGAUAAUAAUCUUUUGAUUUCCUCUCCCUUAUUUCCUUCAGGCCAACCUCCUGAACAGAAGAAAAACUAAAUUGUUGAUGCAUGAGAAAACAAAUACAGUGCUUUUAUAUGUACUGUAGUUUGCAUUUUUCUCUAUAGCGCUUUCUUAAAAAUGUUAUUGCAGUUAUCCUAAUUACAUAGUUGCUGCCUGACCAUCAAAAAAAAAAAAAAAGAAUUCAACAAAAAAAACCUUCAGCGAUUCUCUAAAGACUGCAUUGGACUGUGAUGUUAUUUUGUCUAGCUUUGACCUUAACCUGGGACUGAAGGUUAUCUAAAGGCAGAAGGAGACUCAGUGCUGUCUGCUCUGAAUUUCCAGCAGUAAUAAACUUUAGUUCAGUAAUAAACUUUUUCUGCUAACGUUUUAAGAUUUUCUCCAGAGCCUGCCUGAAUGUCAGUCCGGUAUCUCCGUCUUCCCAUUCACAAACUGUGUUAGUCACUGGAUUUGAGAUCUGCAGAUGCUAUGUGCCUGUAAAAGUUACCAAACAUCCUGGUCCUUGUGUUCAUUUCAGUACUAAAAGGAUCUUCUACCACCCUUUGCUUGUGAGCACUCAACUAUACAAGCCUGAAGGGAAGCACAAAGAAAAAGAAACCCUUUUCUCCUUCUCAGUACUACAAUUCUUUUCCUGCCUGUAUGGAUUUAAGGCUCACAGGCACAGAUAUAUCACAUAGCCCUGGAGUCCUUCUCACACCAGGGCAGAAAAGUAUAGAUGCCUUGAAUGGAGGACCUCUUUCAGCCCUCUGUAAGCAGUCCUGCUGCUGGGCCAGCUGUACAAAAAAGUCCAAGUCAGUGAAAAUGAGAUGGCUGAUUUGCUUGCUUGUCUGUUGUUUCAGCUUCCUGGAAGAUCCUGGAUUGCAUCAGACACCAGCAUGUUUCUGUAAAGGAUUUACUUUUAGCAUAUCACAGAAAAGGAAAGGGUUAAAAAUAAAUAUCUGGAUGUAGCUAUGUGAUCUUUGAGGAAGAACCAAGAGAGCUGGAGUGCUUUAGGACAACCAGGAGCUGUGGAGAUAUGAAGGAUAGGAGCAAAUGUGAGAUGUUUUCACUCUGUCUGUCAGCUGGGCACACUAGUGAGCUCAAUGCCAUGCUAAAAUGACUGGUUUUCAGUCUGCUCAGAGCAUGAGCAGAAUGUGGUCUACUCCAAAAAUACCCUACAGACACACCUUGCAGUCUGAGAAGAAGCCAAAAAUCCAUUCUUAUGAAUUACACUUUGAUAUUUUCCCUUUCAAGUCGCCAAGAGUUCAAAGAACUCCAGAAUCCAUGCAUGAGUUUCUUCCAGAAUAUCAUUUUUAAUUUCUCUGGAUUUCUACAUUGCUUUAUCAAAAAAUAGCCAUGAAAUAGGGAAAGAGGGGGAAGUAGGAAUUUCAGGAAGGAGUGGUACACCCACGAAAAACAUAGAGGAAAAGUAUAUGUAAAGCUGAAUACCCCACUUCAUAGUGCAAGCGGAUUUCCAAGCUAAUGGACAAAACGUGCCCUGCUGUCCCUUCAGGGGAAUUAUAGGCUGCAAAGCAAAAACGGGAUGUGUGCGCUGGAAUCUGGGGUGGUGAGAAAAGAGAGAGGUGCCUUGUUUAAUCAACAUACGCUAGAAGUGUGAAAGCUGCAUUAAUUUGGUGUCUAAGUCUUAUCCACCUCUCCAUUUCACAAAUUGUCUCUUUCAUAUGGAUAUAGAGUUGACCUUGCAGGCUUUUAGGCUUCAAGUGGACAGGGUCACUCAGGGCCCAAGCCACUGCUCAACCUCCCCCACACAUACCCCAGUUAUAUCUUUUUACUAUCUCUGCUGGACACCGCACCUUUCUGUAAUUAUAAAUGUCUGCUUUCUGUCACUUCAAAGGUUUCCCAGCACUGGGAGUCCUUCUUCAAAGACUUUACAUCGCUGAAGAACCUCUGUCAUUGACAGGAGGUCCGUCUUUGAAGUUUUUCAUGCCAUUUAUUGAUUUCCCCUUUUUAGGAUGUUCAUAUUAGAAAAUAGUUCACCGUGUUUGAAAAUCUGUAUAUUUUUAUGUUGUUGAGGGGCUACCUCUUUGAAGAAACAACACUAUUGCUGCAGUGCCUCCGUAUGAAGAAAUCUGAUAGUGUAUCUGCAGUAUGCUGUGUUCCUUCAAGCUCUCAUUUUUAGAAAAUUCCUCUCUCUGUUUCUUUUCUACUUGUAGGUGUUGUCUAGGUACUUAGGUAAUGCAGCUUCACACAGACUUUUGUGAACAGACCUAAUUUAGGUCCUAUUGAUGCACUUAAAAAUUUUCAUAUGCUUAAUAACCUACUGAAUUAGCAAAGAAAAAUUGAAAAUAAUAACUUUAGUUUGAGCAAAUGAAAAGAAUGUAUGCAUAAUUAAGUGGCAACUCUGGAAAUGUCUCCAAAAAUUAAGCAAGUUUGGACAUUUCAAAGGGGAGAUGCCUCAAACCAGUCACUGCUUUGUUCAUGUCAACCUUUGACACUGUGAAGGGUUCCAAGGACUUGUCUUCUGAACAUGUUUACCUUGUGAGGUGGCUUCCUGGUAAGUUCACAUUGCUCAUAUAUUCUUAAAAGGAAACUUUUGACCUUGGUUUACUUCAAAGAUCUAAUAGCUUCUCUUGCUUCCCUUCCACCCUCAUCCCCCAUUUAGUCAUCUCUCCUUUCUUUGCACAUAGGUCAAUACAGGCCUUUGGUUCUAAAUGAUCAAAAGUUAUGGAGUAUUGUCUUAUUGUUUGUAUGCCCUAAAAUAUCAUUGUCUGUUCUGAUCCAUUGCAAAACAAUGAAAAAGAACUGCUUGGAAUAUGUAUGUGAGUGACAUCAUGAAAUGUUCUUGAAUAGAUGUAAUGUGUUUUAGAACAGAAAAGCAUUUUCCCCUAGUGAUGUGUUUGACUUCAGGCACACUUAACGGGUGUCUUCCACUGUGUCACUGGAAACUACUGCAGCAGUCAAUUGUAUCUGAGAAGAACAUGACUUGAAAAGGCAUAAUUCAUACAACACCUGGGCAAACAGCCAAUUUCUUUCCCCACAAAGUUUUAACUGAUUCAUUUAAAACUUGGCUGGGGCAAAACCUCUGAGAAAAUCGACUGAUAUGGCAGGUGGCACAGAGUGCCCAGGUACAUGCAUGCCAUGAAGAUAAUCCAAAAUCAAAAAUGAGCCUGAAUAAAUCCCUGAAGUUAAUGUAUUUAUACUGUGGCAAAUAUGAUCCAAGGCUGCAUUCUGUGGCUGUGAAAGUGUAUGGGUAAAUUAAAAAUCCAGAUCUUCUGCUGGAGACAGGUAAUCUACAGAAGGAAGCCCAUAUCAUUGUGUUACUAGGAUAAGAACAUUCUGUUUAAGAAGCCAAUGUUGCUUAGGCUAAAAGAAAAAUUAUCUUUUAUAGAUGUCACACCAAGAGAAUAUCCUGACUUCCUGCUCAGAGACAGCGACGUAAAAGACAAGCCAUGUUCUGGAUGGCAGUGCACAGCUGUCAGACCACAAAAUGAAGAGUGUCUCGAUCAGCUUGUCCACAUUAAUUGGCUAAUAAUGGUGACUAUGUUGAAAAAUACUGUUUUGUAGCUGAGGAUUUGCUCUAUCUGUUGUAAUUUCCAUGGAAAUAAAUGGGAGGCAUUAUUUUUGGAGCAUCCUACAUAUAUGAUAAGGUCUUUGGUCCUUUCAUGUCUCCAUCUGCAGCCAAAGGGACUCUUUCUGCUUGUAUUCAUUUUCUGGGCUUGUGUAGUGCAGAAAUAUUUGUUUCUGCUGGAUGAAAAGGAAAUGACUGUUUCUCUGUCAUCAGUCUUUUUAAAAGCUUUGAUGACGACAGUUUUUAGCAAAGAAAUUUAUGAAAAUGAGAUUAACAUAUUGUUCUUUCUGGUGAGUUGUCACUGACAUUCCUAUAAAAUUAAGGAAAGGAAGGUACAAAAGUUUGAGGUAUAUAUUUAUCCCAUAAGUUUACAGUUUGCAUAGAAUAAUUAUAUAAUGAAAGGUUGUUUGUAGUGUUUUCUUCUGUGCAUCGUUAAUGUGAUACUUUUUUCCUUGUCACUAGAUUUAAACUGUAGCAUUGUAAGACAAACAUCCUCCUUCAACUACUUCCAUUAUACUGCAUACUAUUAUGAAAUGAAAGGGAUAUGUUGUGCUUUAUCUCUUUAUAUAUUAUAAAAAUAAUGAAGAGGAUAAUUAUCAAGGCUGUAGUGCAAUUUCAUGGCAUUGCUGUCAGUUACAAACUGCUUGAGCUGCAUUCCUUUGGUAUAAAAUGUCAAGAAAACCCCAUGAUUGAAAUACAGUCAUCUAAUUAAUUUCUCUCUAUUAUUAGUUUAAUGGGUUGUGUCUGUGCAGAACACUCACUGGUGGUUAAUAGAGAAUGAAAUGUAGACAGUCCAGUUCUAGCUUUUAAGUUCUAAGUAUCUUUUCAUGCUCAACCUUUCAUUGUGCCAAUAAACACAAAUUAGCAGACUUUCAAAAAGCUGAAACUUUUAAGUCUGGUAUUCUGUGCACAGCCUUUGCUGAGUGUCUAUUUUAUCAGAUCUCUUUCCACUAAUUCAAUUCAAAGCUGAGUGUUUAUAUUUGAAGACUUACUGGUAUUGCCAGUUUCUUGGUGUGCAUCAAUUCUACUACAGCCAUAGGGUACCAUGUUCCCUGAACCUCUGCCUUCACACACUGCUGGACCUUAACAUUUGUUUCUUUGUAUAAUUCCUCCCUCCAGAUUUUACAUUGGGUUUUUAUACGCCAAUAGUAACCUUGCUGUUUGUGGGAUAAGCAGCCACUUUCCUUAUUUUUAGUUCUGGAAAUUGCAUUAGUAAAAAUGCCAAGAGAGAUCUACAUCCAAACUGAUCAUGUUCAAAUUAAUAACAUUAAAAUGAGGCCAUUUAUAUGGUAUUAUAUGGUAGUGGGUGAUAGCUAGCUUGUCUGAAGGUGGGCAAAGAACUAAGAGCAGGGGAAGAGCACAAGCAGGAGCUGAAAAAAGGCCUAGUCUUAUGUGGAGGGAGAAAUCUGGAAGAUAAGUACAGCCCUGUAAUUACUCUGUGACUGCCAUUUGUAGCCAGCGUCUGAGUUAGAAUUCAGCUGUGCUGCAUGAAGAUGCGCGAGAUCCCUCUGAGUCCCACAAGCCCAGCAACUCACCAAAGCUGAAGCUUACUUAUUUUGGCACUGGCAUUAUAAUUUUCACUAUCUCCUUUAAGAAAUGUGAAACUUCCUCUUUUCACAAAUAACAGAGAUUGCCGUAAAUUUUAACAAAAAAAAUUGUAAAUCCCUCUCCCUUUUUUUGUUCUCUUUCUCAGUCUCGCUGGGUGCCAUGACACUAGAGUUUUCAUAGCAAGAGCAUUACAAUAUCUCGUAUUAUCACAGUCUCAAGCAUCUUGUGUUAUCCUGUGGGAGACCUGUUCAUAUAGCGGAGAUCUGCUUUAUACAAUGGUAUCUGAGCUGCAGAGGAAUUAGAUAACUUGCCCAAAACAUGGAAAAAGUCUGAGGCAAAACAGUGUCCUUAGAUCACAAGUCAGAGCUCUAACACCUGCAUGGUCCUUUCUGCUGACAUAUUGAUACUUCAAAACCCAGAACAUUUGGGGCGAAAUCAUGGUCCAUUUGGACCUCAUGGUAGUUUCUAGAGAAACUUAGAGGAGGCCAGGAUUUUACAAUUGGUGUAACAGUACUGGUUAAUGCAAUUCUGGAAAAUUGUCUGGUCCCCUGCUUUUAUCUUUUGUCUUAACUAAUGCUAUCAAAAUGUUCUAGCAAAAUCUUUCUUUUUAUAGAGGGGAAAAAGUCCACUCAACUAAGUGAAAAUCUGGAAAUCUUCAGCGUAAAAGUUCAUGUUUAAAAUCUAUGGCACCCUUCCCCAGUUUUACCCUGGACCAGAAGUUCUUACUAAACUUUUUGCCAUUCUGCUUUUCUUCUUUUUAAGGGAAAGCAUAGUUUUUCAGAAUUCCCUGCAAAUGUUCAUUAGUGUUGACAAGUUCUGCUUUCCACACAUGACACUGCCUCCUGCAGGCUAAGAUAUAAGUGCUCAAUAUAAUUAUGGCAGUCCAUAAAUAAUGAAUAUACCUAUCAAGGCUUUGCAGGAUUGCUUGUGACGUGAACAUAAAAUGUUCUGAGAAUAGGAGAGGCAAUUGCUUGAUAUCAGCUGUUUAAUUCUCUAAUUUAUAAAGAGAGAGUUAAGCUUUGGUUUGGGCCAUAGAAGACAGUUGUUAACACUGCAGGUUUGUGGCUGAGUGGGCUUCCCUCCACUUUGGGACAGACAUUUGUGCAAAGAAAUAAAAUGUUUUUGGUCAUCCAGUGCUACUGCUGCUGUGCUGCGAAUCCUCUGAGUUCUCUUGAAAUCAUUGGGUUAGCCGGCUGUGUACCUAAAAUGGUUGGCAGCGUGGCAGGGAGCUGCUGCCAGGUAUUCCUGGUACAUUUGGCAGCUCAAAUGAGGAAUGAGUUAAUAUCUUUUUCCAGGACUCAGUGUUGCAUUUAAGCAGAACCCUGCGCUGGUGGGAGCCGCAUCCCUUCAGUCGUAUUGCCUCAAGGAAUCAUGCCUCAAAAUUCAGAAGCCUUACUAGGGGUCCUGGCAGCCUGGAGAAGUCCUCCCUUUGCUGCACCACUUCAGGCAAUGAAAAAUCUUUCUGUUUGUAUAGGCAGCCAGUUCUGAUGGCCAAAACUUUGGGUUUAUUUCAGCCACGGUCCUGCUUUUCGUUCACCUCAUCUGUUCUUCUGUAUUUGUGUGCUGUAGAAUAAGGGCAUAGCAAAGAACCUUGUUGUCUCCUUAAUAAAUAAUGAAUCUGCGGGACAUCUGGACAUCAGCUGAUCUUUAAUUUGGACUGUUCACAGAAUUGUGAGCAGUAUAAGCUGUCAAAGGAAAGAAUGUAAUUUUACAAGGUCAUUUGCUUCUUAGGUCCAUAAAUGAACACAGCAGUGUAUACAAGAAUUCAUUUUAUUUCACAAGUAGUCCAUUUAGUCCAAUAACUGGAACCAGAAGCACCUGCUACAACCAACCUCUACAAUCACUGGCCACAGGAUAAUCUAUUCUGAGAGAAUGUUUUUUCUCUAAUGUUUAAGAGACAAAACCUGGAUUCCUCUAUGAACUUGAAGGCUCAUCUCUUUCUCAGACCUCAUACUGACACAAUCUAGGUAUAUCUUCAAGUUGCAUCUGUCAAGUUCAGUAGCCGUUUCAAAAUAGAUGAGUGUGUGUGGCUAGGACCACCCGAUUUUCCAAAGGCUGAGUGUUUGUUUUGGUUAAACAAGUGAAUGUCUGGAGUCAUGCUGUUUCAGUUGCUUGAGUUACUUCUUUGACAGUGAUGAUGUGGAGGAACACUGGUGCUCAAAGACACUGCUUACUUUUGAAUGAUGAAGAAGAAAAUCUCUUUAUUACAAUAGAGAGGUCUUAAAACCUUCUAAAUCUUAGGCAGGAAGCUGGGUUUAAGAAAGAAACCCAAACAGUAAAAGAGCCUAGCUUGUAAGUAAAGAUUGUGUUAGGGUCUGUCUGGAGAGUGCAGUUGGAAAUUCAUUGUAAGUCUAUCAUAAAAUAAAUCCUGAAAUCUGAGAGGUUAUAUGGAAUGAUUCCCUGAUCUGAGCAUGAUGUGAUGUUUGCAAAUGACUGUUUUGUGUAUUGUGCUUUGCCAAGCUCAUUUUGUAUGAUCUUCAGUGUGUUACAGGCUUGAAGUGCUUGGUCAUUAUUUUUAUCUCAGGGAGUCUGUUGAUUUUAUGAUCUGCAUUCCCCUUAUGAACUCUCCAAGUCUAAUUUCUUUGCUUACCUUCAACUGAGGCAUUUCAUAGUUAUACAAAUAUGUGUUUAUCUCUUUCUCUGCUUGAGGCUGUUCUAAACUGCCAGGAUCUCAUGAAGGACUAAUUUCAGUAAUGUGUAACACUCUGAAUGCAUCUGCAAAGGUGGCAAGGGAUAGAACACAGAAAGCACUCCGUAAUGCUUUGGAAAUAGAGUAGCAGUGAAGAACAGUGGCAAUAAUGUCAAAAACAAACAAACAAAUAAAUAUCGUCAUAGCAAAAAUAUCUCUGACAAAUUCAAUAUAAAUUUUACAUACAGGCUCACUGUUCCCCUGGCAUAAAAAGCUGCCUAUUUUCAGGACUUGCUCUGCAUAUGUAAUUUAUAACAAAAGUCACUGCCUAAAUAGCUCUCCUGGGCCUAUUUCAUUUUCUUUUGAUCUCAGCUUGCACAGUGAUCACCUCUGUGGAUCCACUUUGCAGUUGUCCAUUUCAUUUAUUUUGCUUUACUGUUUUCCAGAAAUCAAGGACUUUUAAUUUCAGGUGCCAUUAAAUGUGUUUCCUUGAGCUCACCAUCUGGUGGUUGGUUUUCCUGCCCUUGUCUUCAUGAAAAGAUAGUUUGUCAAGAACGAAAAUAAAAAGCAAGAAUUUGAUGGGUUGUGGGUAGCUUUUGUGGAAUCUCCUGGUGAACAACUGGGGAGACAGCCGAUCUGGUUUUAUUUACGUUCUUUUGGAACUAUCUCUAAGCAUCAUUUAGUUCUCUUACUUAUUUUUGGGGACCGGUUUAGACAAGUAAAUAAUCCUCUGGCCUCAGUGAGGCAAUUAAAAUGAGUGGGUAAUAUUUGGCUUCAGAUUACUACGUGCUGGCUUGGUUUAAAAACUAAGUAUUUCUAGCUGGUUUUCUCUGUCUUCCAUACGUACUUUGUAAUAGUGCUCAACAAAUAGCAAAGAAUUAAAACAGUAAAAAUAGAAAAUGCUGUCGCUUACUCUUGAUGCACCAAAAGGGGCUAUGGACUUAUUUACUGUGUAAAACCAAAGUUGAUACCUUUCUCUACCCUUGAACCUUUACUCCUUUAUAUUUUUGUUAUAUUUUGUUAUCUGUGAAGCAGUGGUGAAUAGAACUGCUAUAGUCUCUAAUGUUUGUAACCUACAUUUUUGAUGUGCAUUUUAAAUGGAUAUAUGUACAUUAAUGCAUACGGGGGAAAAAAAGAAGAAGCAAUUUAAAACAUAAAGUAUUCUAAAUUCCUGGCACAGUUUGAGUACAGAGGUUUGUAUGUAUAUAAGGAAGGAGGAGGGUCACCACACCGAUUUCAUUUUAAAAUUCUUUGUCUGUCCAAAAAGAAAUGAGAAUGAUCCCAUACUAAAGCAACAGGAUAGUGAAAUUAUGCGAAUGCUUGAAACUUCAGCAUGCCUUCGUGCAAUAGUAAAUGCAAUAUCCAGAGCCUAUAUUCUCACUUUAAUGAUUAUGACAAUAAGAUCAAGAAAUCUGAUGUGAAACUUCCUCAUAAGAACUGACUGUAAGAGAACAUCUCUAGCUGUAGAAUAGCUGCAGUUGGGGAAGUAUGUCUCCCCAAGUUCAGUGCUGUUUUAAUACUAAACAUUUUUCUUCUCUCGCUGUAUCUUCUGUGCUGCUGUGCUAGAGUUCGUCUUAUUAAAUACAAAUAAAAUAAAAUUAGAUCCUUUAAAAUCAGGAAUAACUGCAAAACCGAAAUGUCGCUGUGUGGCUCUUAGCCAACCUAUUCGAAAUGAGAAAGGGACAUUUUAAAACUUCUUCUUAGCAUUUCCACUCUGAUUCCAAUCAAAAACUUGAAGACAGAAGAAUGUUGGGUUUGUUUUUUAUCCCAGAGGGUUUGAAACAUUUAAAAAACUGCAAGGCAUGAGUCUGGCAUUGCUGUAGUCCAGGUAAAACAGCAGGUGCUAUUGUAAUACAGUGAGAAGGUUUCAAUAAAUCUGAAACUGUUACAGCAGCAGUGGGGUACUUUCAACAUAAUUCUUAUUUCUUCUGGAGCAAUUUUGUGAUUUAAAGUAUUUAGAAAGUAACGGGCAGCGAGAAGCAAAAGUGGCGGUGUUUUCAGUUCUUAACUCAUAACCAUAAUUUAGUUCAAUUCAGGGAAGAACAGCUACAGUAGCACAUUAGAAACACAAGAUAAUAACAGAGACUUAGCUAAGAAUACAGAACAUCUUGUAUUUCUAAUUGCAUCCAUCUUCUAAAUGAACAGAAUCUCUAAUUGAGGAAAAACUUAUUAUGGGAAUCGCUAGCAACGAAAAGCUGUCUUAUGAGCAUUAAAUAGAAUAGAUGGUAUUUGUCACAAAUCAAAUUUGCUCUAUUAUUUUGGUAACCCAUCAGCAGAGCUUUCUGGAGGUACAGAUGUGUUGUAUUUUCUUCCACUAAGGAACUCUUCAAUAACAUUUCUCUAUGCAGAAUUCUGGGCAUACAAGAUGAUAAAAGUCAGUGUAAUUUUGUCAGUUUUCAACAGAUUGCAUACUUUUUUUUUUUUUUUCAAUAAAUUUGGCGCAGGUAAUGGCAAACAGCGUAUCUUGGAGUAAAUAAACUUCUAGAUCAAAGUUUCAUGAAUUAUUUGCAAAAUAGUACUAUGAGAAGGGGCUGAAUGCUUCAGGGCGACGAAUCUCUUUUGAGAAAUAGCAGACAACAACUUAGAUCUUAGCCAGUCAGUGUAGAGAUCAAUAAAACCCUAACAAAUAACAUCCCAUGACUAUUGAAAAUAUGUGCUGAACAAAGAUGCCAUUUAUUGUGAAAUAAAUCCCAAACAGGAUUUAUUUUUAUUCUGGUGAGACAAAGGGAAGGGAUGGAUGUAGAGACAACGCAACCUGUAUGAAAGCAGAAGCAGAAACAGAAAGAGUAUUAUUUAUUCCAUGCAAAUAUCUUGUAUCCUAUUUCACGAAGUAGAAAGAGAAUUUAAAAGAAAAAGGUAGAAAUUUGAACCUGCCUUUGCUGUACUCUGCAAUGGUGAUAGGCUUAGAGGAGAGUGGUAGGUAGGACAAGGUAUUGGGAUUCUCCUCCCAGUUUAGUAAAACCUAACACCAGCAUUUCCGUCCUUAAAAGGAUUUAAAAUGCUCUGUGGGGUCUGUCUGGGCACACUGGUCUCCAGUUUACUUGCCUUGCAUCAUGAAAAACUGCUCUAUCAGUGGUGUUUCUCAAUAUGUAGACUGGGCAAAUAUACCCCCAUCAAAUCAGCUAAUUAUACAAUAUGCUCAUCCAAUUUCAGCAUUUCACACUUUGCAAAAGAAUGGAACAGUCUCAUCCACCACGUCACCUUCUGUAUGCUACAGCUAUUAAAUCAACUUGGAUUCAAAUGUGUCUGAAAAGUUUUUAUAAAGGAAAAGCUUGUGAAAGGGGAGCUCGUUGACUGCCGUACAGCUGAAUCCUGCUUUCACAACAACUCUGUAUAUUCACUUCCUUCAGCAAAUCAGCAUGAACGCUGGGAGAGUCAGAACUUGCCUAUAAUUUGCUUUGCUCCUAUGGUCAGAGGGCGUGGUUAUUCCGGCAGCACAGAGCACGUCCUUACACAUGGAAAUGGAGCAGGGAGCACAGCUACUUCACAAUAGCUCCCCUUGUGGACAAAGUGUUUUGGAAUAAAGGAUACUUUAGACUGGAAUAAUUAGUGCACUGAUUAUUCUAGAACAGAAUAAGUGCACUAAUUAUUCCUACAGUGUCCACACAGGGACAAACAGAAGGCUAUUGAAGAACGGCUUAUUCUGCAACAGCUAUUUUGGUCCAUUUCCUCGUAUGGGCAAAUCCUACUGCUGUUGUCAGCAGGUAAUGAGUGUAUAGAUGGAGAACGUGGAAGGAUUGCAUUAAUGAUCUCAUCCCAUUAGUGCUGCUUUGUGCUUCACUUUUGUUCACUUAUGGAGUUAAUUGCUUAAAACCCCCUCUAAGGCAGGCACAUUUCUAAGCCUAACUUCCCAGUUCUUACACAGAGACCCUCCAAACUCUUCUGCAGGUGACCCACCCCCAGCCAGCUGAGUAAAGCACUGCAAGUACCUGACUGUUUAAGUAAAACUGUUGAUUUUCACUGGAACAUGUUUGUUUUCUUCCCCUAAAUGUGAAAGGUUGUACUGCAUUGAAGCCCUUUUAUACGUUUUCCUCAGGAUAACUUUGAAAAAUAAUUUUGUGCUGACUUGAAAAGUUCCUGGAAAAUUCACCUGUGUGAUUGUUGUUUCAAGAAGACUGAAGAUCCAUCCAUAUGGAGAGCUGAGGGAGCUACUGGGUGAAGGGUAAGGGAAGGGUCCAUUAAGUACUAGGCUAUAUUUCUCCUGUACGAUAACUUAAUGCUUGAUAUUCAGGAAGCACUUCUUAUCUUUAGUUCUAAGCUCAGUAUAUUUUCACCAAGGUCACAAAGCCAUAAGUACGGACACUAAUGUCACUGGCUUACUUGGCACAAACCCAGUUAAACUUAGUUCUGCAAGCGUGCAGCAGGUUGAGGAUUCAACCUACAGGUGGAGCACGGCAGUACAAAGUCUUUAGUGUAUCAACAGGCAAAUCUGAUAUGGGGGAAAAGUUUAACCAUUUAAAAGAAUGGAAGUUGCAAUCCAGAUGAGUAAGAAACAGAGGGGGUUGUGCUAUUGUGACAGGUCUGUUUGUAAUCUACUUAAAUGGGUUAAUGAUUGUUUCAUUACAAAAAGCUGCUUGUUAAGUACUAACUACUAUUAAGGUCUGUAAUAGAAAUGUCUGUUCCUCUAAACAAUGUGACUUUUAAAAGCAACUUUUCCUUAGUGAAUAAAUUUUUCAACUAGACUGACUACUGCAUUCCCACUUAAAAUCAAGUGCAUAACCUUCUUUUCCUAAGAGUGCAUCAUAAAGCUGUAAUUUAGGUGAUACCGGCUUGCAAACAUGAGUUAGCAAUGUACCCAAACUAUGACUUCAGUAGAACAAAUUGCAGUGCUUUCUCAUCAUAGGUAAAGGGCAGCCUCUCAAACAAGAUUAUAUUUAGAAAUCUGUUUUCAUAGAAGAGAGAUGGAAAUACUAAGAGUAUGGUUUUUUGUCUGCUUGUCCUUCCUCUGUUAUUGUGCAGUUCUGUUUCUCUUUCCUUUGUGCAGUAACAGUGGAACAGGAUGCAGAUGGGACCAUAACUAGAAUAAUUCUAAAAAAUACUCUUUGGGUGCCUAAUGCUGGAAAAAUACCUUAUUUCUCUUCACGUAAAGGCAGAGAAAUGAGCUGUUUCAUUCAACAGGAAUUCAGACAAUAGGAAACUUAUUAUUUUAUUACUCUGAUCAUCUGAAUAUAGCACAGCAAUACCACCGCAAUGUAACGUCUCAAGGGUACAUUGCCACUUUGUCAUUAAAAACCUAAGAUAUUAUGCAUGUUUGCAGCUGCAAAACUGCUCAAAGUUUGUCUAGUGACUCCCCAGCUGAAAUAACAUUCUGAAGUAACAUUCUGAAAUAUCGCAAACUCUUCGGUGAACUGUCUCCUUUGAUUUGCAAGGGUAAACAGAGAUCCAAACAACUGGGAGCUGGCUUGGAUUUUAUCCAGGCAACUUAGGGAACUGUCCUGAUCUUUUGUACUUUUCCUCCAAAUCUUUUAUGAGACUCAAAGAAUGAUCACCUUCUAUAUUUUUGGCCAUGAUACCUACUGAAACCCACUCUAGCCAUGUGUUUAGAUUUAGACUUUCCCUGAGUCCCUUUCCCUCACUGAGUUAUGAGAAUGAGUUUUGCAUUUCCCAGUGCACUCACUUUUAUCAGAAAUUUUAAAGGAUGGGAAUCCUCCCUGUGUUUAGGGCAGCACAGACAGUAAAGGGAGCUGGUUGUACUCUUCCCUUGUUGGAGUUUGCCAUGUGAUGCUUUGUGUCUUAAAGCCUACUGGAUGAUAUAACUUGAUCCAAGUAGUUAAAUUUAUUAUGUAGAAAACCCCUGCAAUUUAAGUGCAAAAAUAUUUAUACUUUUGUCCUCAUCUGGAAUAUUAAGAUCUCAGAACAGAGUAGAGGAUCUGACUAUGCAAUAUUCAUAGGUAUGAAGCUACCUUCACAUAUGCCAAGUAGUUGUGAAACCCUGCCAAGCAGUCACGGGAAUGUUUCCCUGCCCCACUCUCUUGGUACCAUUAUUAUACUAUCAGGCCUUAGGGUGCCUCAGACUCUUCCUCCAUCAUGCUGCUGAGCUCAGCAGCACUGUUUUGUUUUGCAUGAGUUUUAACUUGGAGAGAGGGAGGCUGAAGAAAAGAAACAAAAGUGACUUAGAGCAUCAUUAGCCUUGUGGGAAACAUCUUACCAAGGAGCUGUUAAUGAUCAAAAGAUCUUUACCUAACUAAUGAUCUGCUGAGUCUAGAACUACAGAAGAGAGAGGGGUUUCUCUUUACAAAACAGGUUUUUUUGUUUGAAGUGGUGAAAGUACUGGGUCUGCUGCUUUCCUGUGGGCAUUACAGUGGUGCCUUUCUUUGGAAUUUAUGUUUGUGCUACUUUCUGUUUUUUUCUUUUUUGCUUUCCAUUGGAGAUCAGUAUAGGCCUUUGCAGCUGAAUCUGGAUUAUCUCAAAGGAUUUACAUGUAAAUAUAUUGUUGACAGUGUUAAACAGCUCUUCUUCCUGAAGAAGAAAAAAUCUAUUCUGGAUUGAGCAGAGACAAAUGACAUUACACAGCUCAGGUAAUGUGAACCUGACCUUCUCAUCUAGCUUGGGUAACAGUCUCAGCAGUCCCUGAGUUGCUUGGAUUUACAAAUGUAAAGCUUAGUAGGGUCAGACAUUCAUAAAUGAUUAGCAUCAUGCCUUCACAGAGAUUCUCAAGAUCCUUGUGAACAACAGAUCUUGAAAUGUGCAUUCAUUAGUGACUGUCUGCUGCGGAUUUUCCAGGGAUUUAGAGCUGAACGCUACACGGUGCGGGAAGCAUGACAAUCUCAAUAUGACUACGCAAGCUUCAACUUUAAUGGAGUACUUCACAACAUAUAUAGAAACUGAGUUACACCUGGCAAACUGCCAUUGGUGGGGCUACCCCAGCCCCAUCCUCUGAUUGGUGAUGACAACUUGUUGAACAAACAAAGCCAAACAGCAACCACCCCCCCUGCGCCCAAGAGUUAACCUCCUGAUACUUCUGUCCUUGGACUCCGCCCCACCCAAGGACCCCUCGGCCCUGCUGACUGUCCACCCAGAUCUACUCCAUACACACACUCUGCAGUACUUCCUUGCUCGUACAGUCGCUCAAGUGAUCCGUGGCCACCCUAAUCCUGCAACAACUGUCAUCAUUCUACUUGAACAAAUGCAGACAUAUUUGAAUUGGCAGUUUUAUUUGUUGUUUUCUUUUUCAUAUGGCCUCAAUGGAUGUCAUUACCUGAGACCAGAAUUGAAACAAACAUUUUUCUUGAGUAUAAUAUUUUGUGUGAGAUAAUGAGAGUAGCUUGAACCCUUGCAGCCUUUGAAGUUUGCUGAAUGCUCUUCAGUUCAUCUUUCAGGAAAUUGGCAUGUCCUGUGGAAGCCUGAAUGGCACCAAGGUGAGUCAGGUCUGUGCAUGUCUCACAGUGCUGUGGGGGAGAGGAACUGGGGCUCCCGGCUCUUCCCCCUGGACCCCGCUGGUUGAAUUGCAAAUGAAGUACAGCCAGGAGGACCCACUGCAAACAUGGAGUUGAAAGAGUACAGGUGAGCAAGGGUCACCAACACAAACUUCUGUGGGCACAGGCAUGGGUUUUUACACACUUGGAGAGUGUGUGAGUUCCAUUUGAAUUUACCAUUGAGCAAGGUGAGACAGGAAGGCUGAGGAAACCUCACCCCACACAAAAUAGUGUGAAUCCUAGUGCUUUUCUUAAUUUCCCUAAUUCACAAUAUCUCUGUUUUGGAGUUAGCUUUGGGUUAUUUAAAUUCAUAGCUGUGGGUCAGAUCUGUGAAUGACUGUGCCUGUACUUUUAGGGUGGCACUUCUUGCUUGUUAUCUGAAGGGCCAAAUUCUGCUUUGAAUUGCACUGGCUUAGACUUAGAAGUAUUCUGCUGGAGUCAGCGCGCUCCCUUGAGAUUUACGCUGGUGCAAACGGGCUGAAGUCAGCUUGUAAAUAACUUAGAUUUGUGUGAUAUUUUCUGAGGAAUUCAAUGGUAUCAUAGUCUACAUGUACACUAAGAACCCAGGAGCCUGUCCUUGGCCACGUCCCAGCUCCUCACUGGAGCAAGACCUUGGCAUCCACUGGUCUUUCUCCCCUCCUUUUCCUUGGAAGGGAAAGCUGGGGAAUGUGUGCUGGACAGAGCUGAGGCACAGUUCGACAGCUGCUUGGUUUGAUGAAGGAACAGUGAAGACCUCAGGGCACACAAUGGCACACACUCAGAACUGCAAUCAUGAAAUGAAAGCUUGUGAUAAAGUUGUGUGUGCAGUAUAAGGCCUGUGGAGUGUAGAGAAGCUGGGCUGUUGUGUUUUCUUUUCAGCCUCUACAGCACACAGAAUGUGGACAUCAGGUCCACAAAACUGAAGAUGGAAGAGAGGGCUUUAGCCACUCAAGCUCUGCCCUUCCCUCCUGAGCUUUGCAGGGCAAUGAUAAUUUCUUGAUGACUGGUCAUUUUCUGCAGAAGAUUCCUCAUCGCUCACCUGCUGUCUCCUUACUUGGAGCGUGAGCAGUGCCUUUUGAUGUAACUGAGUCAGGAUGUAUAGUCUUAGUAUAAUUAUGGACAAAAGUUAGUAAACAGACAUUUAUAAAAUAAUGAAGUUGUUUAACUCUCGUAGAGUGGAGUUCUCGGUGUAUGCAUUAAAAUGUGUUUGUAGGUUUACUAAAUGGCCUUGGAGUGAGCUGACUUAUUGUACAGGUUCACAGAGCUUGCAGGAACAUGAAGAGAUCUUGCCAAGUUAUGGAAAAAGAAAAAUGGAAAUGUAAUGAUGAAGUACAAGGAAACAGUUUGGCUGUGAUGCAGCGUGAGGAUGCUCCACCUUGCUUGGAAAAUAAAGCGCUUCAGUCCCGCAAAGUUUCUUCAAAGAAACCCCCAGCCUGGAACUGGUGCGGCUCUGCAGAGGGAAACGCCGCACUGUACUUCAAAGCGGAGAAAAUCUGCAGCUGCCGGGAGCCCGCCUGCCCCAGGAGGUGUCACUGUUGGGACUGGCAGGGUGAGCUCCGGAGCUGCUGUUUGUUUUCCAAAGCCUACAUUGACCGUGAGGUAUGUAGUUCAGCCAUGCCAAAGUCUCCACAAUUUGUAGUGAGCUACAAGACCAGUCCUGGUGAAGAAGCUAGGAGAUCUUGCUCAUCUUCUUGCGCUGGCCCCACUUGCUGUGGAGGAGGCAACCUCUUCAUGCUGCAGCACCCAACAGAAAACCCUGAGUCGUCCUAUCAAGGACAUCAUCUGAAAGAGCUACAGCACAACAGAGCUGCACAACUUCACCAGCGUUCCAGGAAGCCCUUGCCCUGUUGUUGGUAGAAAAGACACCUUGAAAUCCUGAUCUCUGGAAUUCCCACCAGCUGUGGGUGGCUGGGAACAGGUCUGGCUGGCCUCGAGCCCUCCAUACCUUUACUGCAUGAACUCUACCACCAGGAGCUCCUUUUAGACAAAGGUCCUUCCUCCCAUCGGGUCCUCUAACAGAUGGAAGAGAGUUGCAAGAUCAAUGGAGACAUUCAUCAGUGGACAGAGUUCUCAUUUCCAGAUAUCGAGCAUGAAUAGCUUCAGGGCAUAGUUUAAACAUUGGCCAUCUAUUUUCUGAAAGAAGAGGACCCAGACCCACCCUAAUACUCCAGGUUAUGUCCUGUCUCAUGGACUACUACAGAAGCACUAAAACCAUCGCACACAAAAGCACCACGGGACUCCCACCAUCACCGGAGCUCUCCGCCUGCCUCUGGCGCUAGCUGUCAGAACCGCUUCAUCUGAAAUCAAGUUCUUUAGAUUUAUGCAGUAGCCAUGUUUGUCAAAGUAUUUGGCACCGGUGACAUCAUCUUUGUUGAAACGCUGGACAGCAUGAUGAGUCCCAGAUGUUAAUGCACACUGAGAGUCAGGAAAGAAUAAAAUCCAAAGAUCAACGCUAACAGCUAUGGAGGAGCGCACUCAGUUUACAUUCCAGUGUUGAUAGAUGAAGAAUACGUGGUUUUUUUCUAAGGGAUCCUAAAGCUGUUAAACCUCACAGACCAUUUAGAAGGUGAGCAAGAACAAACAAUGUGAUUAAAGGGAACUGCCAAAAACCGUACGAGUGUCAGCUGCCACCACUGCUCAUUACAUGGAUGAAGAAGUUGACUUUUAAUUUAUAGACAAUUUGAGAAAGAGUACAUGAAGACUUGAAAAGGAAGCUUUCUUUUGCUAAAAGGAAAAAGGAAAACUGUUAUUAAGAACCUCUGCUGAACUGCAUUGAUAAGUAGAUGAUGAUGUGUUGAAUCGAUGUUGAUGAAGACUAUAUUUUGGAAACUUCAGUUAGAGCCAAAGAAUGUUUCCAUUGCGAAGCAGAGGACAUAAGAUCAAAAUAGCCACUGUCUUCUUGGGCUUUACUGACUGCAAAAAUAGAAGAUCUGCUGAGUGUUGACUGGUUGUUGUCCUGAAACGUCCUGAGCUUCCACAUCCCUCUGCUCAAAGAAAUGCCAGUUCCUCCAACCGCUUCUGGUUUCCUGGGUACCUAACAACUGUUCACGUUCAGACACCCUGGAAGGGUAACCUACUUUGAAGAUUUUAUCGGCUUAUUGCCUGAAUGGGAAGCAGCUGAGUUUCAUCUCAUCCCUGUUGUGGUUAAUUCCAGGACACUGGGAAAGACCCCAGCUCUAGAUGUUGGAUUAAGAUCUUCACUUCAGCAGCUGAGACAAUCACAUUCUUGAAACUGGGAAAAAGAGUCCCGAGGGCAAAAAGAGAGGAGGUCUACCUCAUGGCAGAACAAAAAGAUUAUACAACCUUGCAAGAAGUGUUCAGUCUUGCAAGAUGAGAAUAAAAGAAGCUAUUUUCAACUGAAAAGUCUAUAGAAGAGAUUUUGGAACAAACAGGAGAAAAUCAGCAGGAUCUAAUCGUGAGGAGCAGAUUAUACUUCUCCAGAUGGAAUUCAAAUGUGAAUUUGCAGAAGUUUAACUUUGGUACCAGGGAAGUUGUUGGAGGCUGCAAACGUCUUCUUAUCACCUGGGAUGGCUUGGCUUCAAAUUGUGCCUUCCAAAGAGCAAUUUGCAACUGGCAUGGCCUACUGCCUAUAUAUUGUAAUUUAUGAAUUCAAUGGAGAACCAGAAAAUGAACCUGGUGCAAGAAGCCUGUCUUCCUUCCACAGCUGGGAAAGCAAUAGGCCUCUCCAGGGCAGGAUUCACCAAAGCAUAUACCAGACUAUUCAUGCUGAAUGUGAAGGCAAAGAAACAAUUUACUGUUUUAAAACAAAGAGCCUAUUCCUCAGGAGACACAGACUGGUAAAUGCUAUAAGCUUAAAACACAGGGGAUCAAGACCGUGAUUGUGUCCGUUUCUGUUCUGCUCAACGCUUUUUUGUGAAGACGCGUGCUAGCUUCCUUGACUGCAAUGGAAUCCAAACGCAGGCUUAAAGACCAACAGUCUGAGUGUUGCAUCAAGCUGAGAAGAACUUGUGGGUUGUUGUCCUGGGCUCAGCUGCUUGUCUUGCCUCAACCUCUUCAGCAAAAAAUGUUGCUUUUCUGCUCCUGCUUCUGGAGAGGAGCGAGGAGGAGCUGUCCUUUGGAAUGACAGAGAAGCACUUGCAGAUACCCCUCCAAGGAAGGCAUUCAUGCUCUGUGCCAACUCAUGGGCUCCCACUCACCUCCCACUGCCCACUACAGCUCCUCUGCCUCCUGCUAUGGGGCACUGCCAACCCUGCCUGUCCUUGGCCCCAUCUCUUCCUGAGCUCAGCAGGACUCAGUUCACUGGCCUGAAACAGUGGAAUAAAUCUCACCGUUUUUCCCUCAAGAGGUCUAAUCCUUCAGUUUUCAUGAAGGCAGUUUUGCUGUUGAUUUCAGCAGAAGUGGUAUCUGAAGAUGAAUGGCAGGAUAAUACCCAUCUGAAAUAUAAGUGGACAGCAGCAUCAGAUCAGAUGGGUGGUGAAAAGAGACUGAAUGGAAAAUGAUGACAGGACAGAAAUAUCCCUUCCUACCAACAUCUUCAAUGUUUUCAUUUCCAAGCAUUUGUUAAGCAGUGAAGAGGGUCUCUCUCUAUUUAAUUGAAUUUAGUGAUAAUUCUUUGGAAAAGGGAAAAGAUCCUUUCACAGCUGUAUCAACAAUAUCUUCUCUCUUAAAAGAAAACAGCAGCUGACUUGGCAUGUCAAGCAUCACGUAUUUGGCCAAGGAAGGCAAGCAUAAGCCAGACUGGCCAAUAGCACUAACUUGGAACAAUGCCACUGAAAAGUUGGUCUGUAAACUGAUGCUGCCUUUUUUUUUGGAUUCUAUGAGGGCUUGCUGAGAUUUAGCAGCAAUGCAGAACUACCACAUUCCUGGUAGAUAUUUCUUUUCUUGUUACAUGAGAUCCAUGCAUGAAGUGAAAAAGAACAAAUGAACAUCAGGUUUACAUCACCACUGAUAUGUGAAUGAUUGAUCACCCAUUAAAUCACAUACAGAGCUGGUAACAGCACACGGGGUAGUGUUAAAGUAAAAUGUUUGAUAUUCUUUACUCUAAUUAAGCAUGGAAAUAAUACGAUGCAGUCUGUAUUGUAAAUGUUAUUGCAGAUUAUAGACCUAAAGGAGAGGUGUUAUGCCACCUUUAUAGCCUCCAGUUCCUGGAGACUGUGACUUAGAGCUGCCUCAGGGCUACCCUAAAUUACACCAGUUGGUAAUGACUCCCAAAGGGCCGCUAUGCAUCCAGUGGUUGCUGGAGUGUAAAGUACUUUGGCUAUGCCAACAGCCCAUCAUUUCACGAUGGAGGCUGAGAGCAGCUGGCAUAGUGCUUGGAGAAAAUCCCCAAGUAGUGGUUUAAGACAUUUUUCGAACUCUUUUUUUGUCAUGAGAGUGAUAUAAAAUGAAGGCCAGAUUUCACAAACACACAGGGGCUUUUUCUUUAUUAUUUAAGCAUCUGUAGUCGUGAGCUGAUAAGCUGAGAGAUGAGGGUUUCUAUAGGAUUUCAGAGCAGGUAUCAACCCAUAUUGCUUCAGCUUGGCAGCGUUCCAGCUCUCUGCCCUGGCCCUGAUUCCCUGUGUGGUGCAGUGGAGCACCACUGGCUGUCAAAGGCAUACUCCUGGUUUACAUCUCUGUUAGUGAAAGGAGAACUGGAUUCCCCCUUGUAAGUGCCAGUUUUUCAAUUGAGGAUCAUAUUCCAUUCUUCGAUGGAGCUGCCAAAGAUAAAAGUUGAGUUUACACAUGUGAAAUGCUUUUGUAAAUGUAUGUGUGACUCAUUCAAUAGCUCAGCCCAUCCACACUCAAUGAGUGAUGAUUUUUCUGUGCGGUGUGUGGGUGGGUGGACCAUUCUUAAGCAAAUCUCAAAUAUCAAAAAAUCUUCUCGGAAAUUAGGGCAUAAUAUUGGCAGUUUGGGGAUUUUGUUUCGAUGUGCUGCUCACUUAAAAGCAUCCUGAAGAUAACAGCUGACUGGUAGCAGCAGAAACUCAUAACUCACAAACUGAGCUGAUGCAACCCAAAACUCAGCUGACUGUGUUUUCAAGUCUCUGAGACAACAAGCCACUGCUGAUGAUCUUACUAGAAGUUCUACGAAACAUAAUCAAAAAUAAAGUAAUUGACAGCUAUAUUACAGCUAGGAAACGUACAAACCCUUUGGGCAGCCACAGGUUGUUCUUAGAUAAAUUUACUACGGAGAAGUAAGUAUCUUUUUGUUCUAAAGAGAGCUUUUUUAAAAAAAGUCACCAAACUCUAAUAUCACUGAGGAGAAGAAUGAUUUCAUGGAGAAAUUUGUCUGGAUGUGAAUUUAUAAAGGACUUGCUCUCAUUCUGUGUGGAGGAAGAUGAGUGUAAAGACAGAGGACUGAGCUGUAACCAUCCUAAUGGGAAGAAAAACCUAGCAUUCCCUUCUCUUUUGCUCAGUUCUUUGAGCUAGCCCUGGCUAGCAGAUCUGAGUAGAGUGGCAAAAAGUCAAAAGAAGGACUGAUGAAAGAAGCUAACAUUGCAUCUUCUCUGCUCCCUGACUGUGCAUCCUUCUGUGCACAUGGAAGAGAGAUGGUCUGGCAUUUCUGUCCUCUCCCUGCAAGGCUCAAAUGGUGGUGAGGAGACUUCUUUAGUGCCCUGCACAUAUCUGCUCACAGAAUCUCCCAAAAAAGGUGAGGAAAGUGAAUCAUCAAAUGGCAGAAUAAAACAUAAUAAAAUGGUCAGAAAAAGGAGAUCAUCUGGCCCAUCGUUCUGCCUGAAGGCAGGAUUGACUUCAGAUAAGUACAUUCUGAUAGCCAUCUGUCAUUCUAUUUUUGAAUUAUUAAAAGAUUUUUAAUAGUUGUAACACCUGUUAUUAUCCUCUAAGCAAUCCAUUCCAGUGAUUAGCUAUUAUUUCUGCACCCUGGAAUAGCAUUGUUAGCUUAGAACUAUCAUGAGCCAAAUACUGGAGGUCCGUCACUUGUUAUUCUCACUUCUUCCACUGGAUCAUUUCUGGAGUUCGGAAAGAAGCCUAACUAAAAUUAGAUGACUUGCGUUCCCCAUAUCAAAGGAUCUGGGCCAUGAUUUCUGUUGAUUUCAAAGGUUUAAACUUGACAUAAUUCUUUGGAUGGCAAAGGAUUUAUUUUGUAUUUCCAUUGGAGCUGGAAUACAAUACCUGAAGACAGAAAAGUCUUUUGUUGAAAUAUAAAAGCAACUGAUUUUGUCACCUAUGUACUUUUAAAAUUUGUUCUGAAAGCAGAAAGGGAUGGAUAACUAUGUAAUUAAAGAGAGCUAAAGGAGGGACAGAAAUGAACAAAUGCCAUUAUUUUUGCCAUAGUUCUUGAGGAAGCUGAGGUAGAGGUGCAGAAAAUCUGUUACAGUGAUGCACUUUACUUAGCAUGGGAGUUCAUGCAGUGCAAAGAGCUUAAUGUGUGCAGCUGAGCUGGGCCUAAUGGGCAUCAGUUGUUAUCUGUGGAAAUGGAGUCUGUUAGAAGGAGGCUGGCUACUAUACCCGUCUGAGAUGGCUAGUGGGAUUUUCAAUGUACUAGUGACCUUUUCUUACUCAUUUUGCUGAAUUUUUAUCCAAUAAAAGCCAUCAUCUGCCCAAUCUACCCAAGUCUGUAUUGUGCAGUCUGAGCCCCUUGGUGAGGGUGUUGUGAGAAGCAGGAUGGACAGGAAGGGAAGUCAGCAAAGAUGGAACAAGGGGAGCUGCUGAAAGCCAUACGCACACAAGCAGUCCCACAUUUUUAUGUAUACUUUUAAGUAUACUUUUAUACAUACAUGCAUAUGCGCAUACGUACAAAGUGCAUUCUAUGCAGCAUUUCUCUCCCAGAAAUGUAGAAACUGCUGUGAAUCUGCCAACAGGCUUUGCGUGCUGCCUUAUGCUAGGAAAAUUCUUAAGGAAAACAAUUAUAUACCUGUUGUAAAUUGAUCUAGUUUGAUAAGAAUUUUGCUUAUUAAUUAUAUGAUUUAUAAAGCUCCCAUCGCAUGAGGAAGUUAUGGAUAAUUAUGAGUAACUAAGUAUGGAAGUUUAAAUAGCAAAAACUUAUUAUCUGUUGUUGCUGUUCCCUGUCUGUUUUGAUGAUCGCAUACCAGUUAUGUUUACACAAAAAGUCAAACUCUCCAAUACUGUAUUAAAUAAAUAAUAAGUUUAA